rnacentral:rRNA from 1 species
GAUGAACGCUGGCGGCGUGCCUAAUACAUGCAAGUCGAACGGAAAGGCCCUGCUUUUGCGGGGUGCUCGAGUGGCGAACGGGUGAGUAACACGUGAGUAACCUGCCCUUGACUUUGGGAUAAAUUCAGGAAACUGGGGCUAAUACCGGAUAGGAGCUCCUGCUGCAUGGUGGGGGUUGGAAAGUUUCGGCGGUUGGGGCUGGACUCGCGGCUUAUCAGCUUGUUUGUGGGGUAGGGGCUUACCAAGGCUUCGACGGGUAGCCGGCCUGAGAGGUUGACCGGCCACAUGGGGACUGAGAGACGGCCCAGAAGCCUACGGGAGGCAGCAGUGGAGAAUAUGACGGAGUGAGCGGGAGCCUGAGGCAGCAACGCCGCGAGCGGGAUGACGGCCUACGAGUGGUGAACCGCUUUCUCCUGUAACGAGGCGUGAGUGACGGUAAUUGAUAAAGAAGCACCGGCUAACUACGUG